rnacentral:lncRNA from 1 species
AUCAAUUGUCGAAUUAAAAAGCAUAAUCCAUCUCCUUCAUCUUGGUUUUCUUCACUUGAACCUUAGCCUCAGCACGGUCUGCACGUUGAGUCGCCUUCAUCCACGCAUCCUCUGUUCUUACACGCUUACCUGACUCCUCCUUGAAAUCAUCUUUCAAUUUCUCCAUGUCUGUAGCAUCCCCGAAUCCGGGUCCCAAAUCACCACGGAUCCGAUAUACUAUUUCAAUCACUAUUGCGGAAGAUAUAAACAUAAAUUGUUUAUACAUUAAACUUUUACACAUCAUUCCCCAAGGUCUACAACCUUAACUUAAUACAUACCUUCAAUAUCUUAGAAGAUUUACAAUACUAUUUUCAUCAGAAAAUUUAAUAAAUUUAACUACAACAUAAAGAAACUUUGCACUUUGUCUUUGCCUCUGUCCUUAUUCAAGCCUUCAUCUUAAUCUGAAAAUUUUAUCAUGAUAUAGCAAGGGUGAGCAACAAAUUUGCCCAGCAAGUUUUACAUACAAAGGAGAUAUAUCAUGAUUGAAAAGAAUGGAUAAGCUUUCAAGUUUUCAACAAUAUAAUAAUUGUGAAAUAACAUGAAUCAAUUUUUCAACGAUUGAAUGACUGAACCAAUAAUAAUGGAUGUCAACAAUUAACAUGAACAAGUUUAACUGAAACAUAUGGUAAUGAAGGUGAUCAGCCUUUCAUACCUGAUGAACAUAUACAACAUGCACAAUGUGCGAAUCAAUAAUUUAUUGACGUGGUAAAAUCAACAAUGAUUAACCACUAACAUGCUUUGAAUUAACAACUCAAGUUGAGUUAGGAAACUUGCACAAUAAUUAGAAGUUCAAGUUUAGGAACUUGCCUGUACCGUUGAUUACCGCUAAGCAAUCAAUUUAAUCUCUUAUAAAAGACCUAUCAUUAAUAAGAUCGAUCCUCCAAUUAGCAUAAUACAUUUUAUCCCACAACACUAUUACUCAAAUAAUAAAUUAGCUAACAUUUAGCCACAUAAUUAAACAUUAAAUAAUUCUUUAACUCAUUAGUAAUAUUAUUAUCCCUUAAUAAUAUUACUAUCACUUAUCCAUUAUCUUAAACUUUUGCCUAAUAUUCUUUUUAUAGAAUAUUUAUCAUUUACAAAUAUUAUUAAUCAUUUAAUAAUAUUUAAAUCCUUUACUAAUAUUAUUAAUCAUUUAAUAAUAUUGUAAUCACCUUCUAAUAUUAUUAAUCAUGUAAUAAUAUUUUACUUGUUUCAUAAAUAAUAAAGGUCUCACACAUUUUAAGAUGCAAAUACUUUACAUCUUGAAACUUAAACCAUUUAAAUUUCAUUUCAGAAAUAUCUUUUACCUCUACUCGCAAAUUCGGAGUUUAAACAGCUAAUGUAUAGCUUUUAUAGUAAAAAUCAAUUUACUAUAUUAUUUCUUCACUUUAAAUAACUUUUACUUCAGUUUGUCCGUUCAUGAGUCAACACUGACUAUUGCCUCAUAUAUAAACAUUUUAUCUCACUAGCACAUUCGCUUUAUUUUUCAUUUUACGAUUAUUCGCAUUUUUGCUUCGUUACGUAAAUCUCAGCUCAAAAACUUCAUUUUGAGCACCGAAAACCUCAAAAUAUCAUUUUUAUGAUUAAUACAAUAUUUCAAAGGUUUUACAUUCUUUGUUCCACCACAAAAUAAUUUUUAUAGGCAACUAUAUAUAUAUAUAUAUAUAUUUCUCGCUUAAAUAUGUAAUUUAUAUUUAUUACAUAUUUUUAUUGCUUUAUUUAUGCCUGAAAGAAAGUUUCUCGGCAUAAAAUAUUACUUAUAGUCAAAUUUCGCACCAUAAGACUUUAUUAGAUUAUUAUGACUUAUUAUUUCUCUAUCAUAUGCCCAAACACAUAAUAUACUUCAUUGAAUAUCAAUUUCAACAAUUACAUUGAAAAAUAUCAUAAAUCUCUUAUUAAAUCUCCCGUCAAAUAUUAUUAAUUAUGCAAUAAUAUUUUACGCUAAGGUUAUCAACCUUUUAAUUACAUUCCAAUCAAAUACUACUAAUAAUAUCUCACUACAAUACUAUUAGUCAUAUAAAAAAAAAAUUUUAAGUCAUUAAUCACAUAAAUAAACAAUUAUUUCAAUUGUUUUCCUUACCGUAAUUAAUAAACUUGUUUAAACAUUUUAAAAUGUCAUAAACAUCACAACACCUUAAACCCGACCCAAAACUUCAUUACAAACUUGCAUAAGCCAUGCUCACGGGUCUCACUUCAUACAUCGCAUUUUUCCUAUUUUUGGACACUUUUGAUUUUCGAAAUAUUUUACCCAGCCUCACAAGCCAUAACUCUCGCGUUUUAAAACAUUUUUGAGCGAUUCUUGAGCCCACGCGAAGAUAACUUCCAGGGCUACAACUUUUGUCUCACGACAUUUUUCCAAAAUCAUAACACAUCAGUCCAGAAAUUUACACAAAGGUUUCGGAAUUUGAUUAACAGUUUUGAUACACAUCUCCCGAACGCCAUAACUACCUCAUCCGGAAUCGGAAUUAGUCCGUUCCGGAGUCUAUGGAAAGCUAAAACAGAGUACUACAACAUAUCAAAAGCUCAGAAGUUUUAAAGCGUAAAAAACUGGACGAAAUUGCCCCCGUUUUUGACUGCCACGAAUCUGUCCAUUAAAACCGGGACUGUUUUGGCUAAAACAGUAACUACGCCAUGAAAACUCAACAUUUUUGAGUCCUACCACUUGGGUUAACUACUACACACAUAUAUCUAACACCCCUCUUUGACGGAUCACAAAAAAAAUUAUAGAUUUAAAACGGUGGAUUUUCAAAGUACAUAGAAAUUUUGGUUUCAAAACUAGAAAAAUUUAUAUUUUCUCUUCUUCUUUUGGUCUUCAACCAAAUCAACACCCAUCAUGGGUGGAUCCAUACAUAAAUCCAUGGAAAACACAUAGAUCUUAGGGUUUUAUACACCCAAAUCAAAAACUCCUUUCAUAAAAAUUCCAUAGAAAAAAAAAAAUUAGAGAGAGAGAGAAGUUAUACCCUUUGCUUUUCUUCUCCUUCUUCCAUGGUGAUUUCUCCUCCUCUUUGACACUCAAGGGGCUGCCGCCCCUCUCUUCUUCUCCCAUGGUUGUCGAUCUUCUGCUCUUUCUCUCUCUAUUCCUCUUUCCCGUUCUCUUUCUUUUCUUUCUUAUCCUUUUUAUUCUAAUUUCUUCUUAUCCCCCUUCUUUCUUUAAUAAAGAUCCGGCCAAGUGGCCUUAUCACUAACAUGUUGGCUUAAUUUCUUU